rnacentral:rRNA from 1 species
UACGGGGGGGGCAAGCGUUGUUCGGAAUUACUGGGCGUAAAGGGCUCGUAGGCGGCCAACUAAGUCAGACGUGAAAUCCCUCGGCUUAACCGGGGAACUGCAUCUGAUACUGGAUGGCUCGAGUUCGGGAGAGGGAUGCGGAAUUCCAGGUGUAGCGGUGAAAUGCGUAGAUAUCAGGAGGAACACCAAUUGCGAAGGCAGCUCGCUGGGACGUUACUGACGCUGAGACGCGAAAGCGUGGGGAGCAAACAGG